CAAAAAAUAAAAUAGAAAAGACGAGAGAGGAAGAAGACAAAUCAAAGAAUCUGGUACGUUGUUGUGGAAGCAAAAGGAAACUGAUAAUAAUGAAGAAAAGUCACCAGGAUGAUGCACCGUAUGUCACGCCCCGCGACCAACCGCCAAUUUGGACCGGGUCGCGGCGCCGCCGACAGACCGCCGAACGGACCGGGAAUUCCCCUGUACGCGGACAGAGUCUCCCCAGUACGUCCAAGACGUCGCAAUCCAAACAAUCAACGAAUGUUCUAACAAGGAACGGAUAUCAAUCCAGAUUGCAUAAGGAAGUGUCAAAUACAUAAUCUACUUGCUAUUACAAGCAUUCAUUUCACAACCACGUUUUACAUCACAGUUUCUGUUUACAUUUUUACUUCCAAAUUACAAUCUCACUAUUACAUCAGAGUUUACAAAUUUGAUACAUUUUCUUUUCUUGUCUUCUAGACCCCUAAGCUAGAUUGUCUCAGGGUACUGCUACCUCGGUCUCUGUGGUGGGGCGCUAUCUACUGAGCUACGCCCUCGCCUCGCGCCGCCGCGCCGCACACGAACGACCUGAAAACCCCAAAACAACGUGGGGUGAGAACCAACUCCAUGGUUCCCAGUGGGUACGGCCACCCAAGGGAAAAGCUCGACCGAUAGGUCCGAGGAGGCACUGCAACAUGUUAGUUCAACAAUAUACAACAGAUAUAUAUAUUCAAUUGAAAUACAUGCCAUGCCUCACAAUAUGCGAUAUGAAAAUCAUGCAACAACUAGUAGAUCAUUUGAAUUCUACUUUUACUUGGCUACUUUAGCUCAUAACUUUACUCUAAGGUUUCUAUUACCUUAGGAUCACAACACCAACCACUAGCUUCUAAGGUUUCUAUUACCUUAGCUCAAGCCUCUAUCUCUGGCUCAUAAGGGUUCCUCUACCCUAUCAUAGCUAACCACCCGACUCGGCUUCGAGUCAAUCAUCUGCGGAUAGUCCGCGCACUGGCUGCUCAACAGCCUACCGCACUCUCUCUGACUCAGCCUCCUAGCGGCGAAAUCGUCGCACACGCUGAACACGGCUCGAGUCGCAUGACUUGACCAUCGGUGGCGAUUGCGUUGCACUUACCCAGCGUGAAUCGAGACAUGACAUACCGUCUGGCGGUGAACGGGUCACACCACACCCAACAACGAUCAUGUCAGACUCAGUCACCUGGAGGCACCCGCAUCGUACUUACCCAGCAUGGAUUCAGUCUGCUCAGGCGGUCUGAUCCUCAAAUGGCUUAACGAUCCGGCGGCGAAAUCGUCGCACAAACACCACGACAAUGGUUCAA
rnacentral:lncRNA from 1 species